GACGAACGCUGGCGGCGUGCCUAAUACAUGCAAGUCGAGCGAAGUUUUUCUGGUGCUUGCACUAGAAAAACUUAGCGGCGAACGGGUGAGUAACACGUAAAGAGCCUGCCUCAUAGACUGGGACAACUAUUGGAAACGAUAGCUAAUACCGGAUAACAGUAUUUCUCGCAUGAGAGAUAUUUAAAAGUUGGUUAUGCUAACACUAUGAGAUGGCUUUGCGGUGCAUUAGCUAGUUGGUGGGGUAAAGGCCCACCAAGGCGACGAUGCAUAGCCGACCUGAGAGGGUGAUCGGCCACACUGGGACUGAGACACGGCCCAGACUCCUACGGGAGGCAGCAGUAGGGAAUCUUCCGCAAUGGGCGAAAGCCUGACGGAGCAACGCCGCGUGAGUGAAGAAGGAUUUCGGUUCGUAAAGCUCUGUUGUUAGGGAAGAAUGGAUAUGUAGUAACUAUACAUGUAAGAGACGGUACCUAACCAGAAAGCCACGGCUAACUACGUG
rnacentral:rRNA from 1 species